GUUCUCUCUAAGACUACUCCAGCUCUGAGUGCAUGGACUUUAAAUGAUUGAUGCUCAGAGGGAAAUUGCCAUUAUGACUGAGGUUGCAGGAAAUCGGAAGUUCUCCCCCAGACAGUGGCAGGAAAGAAUUGUUUGAUGCCUGGUUUCUUCAAAGAGUGUGGAAAGAACACGGAUGAUGUCACAGCAAGUAGAGGAGAUGGAAGAUAAUCUCUGGACAGGAAAUGAUCGAUUGGCAAGUACAAUGAAGCAGCCAACUAUCAAAGGGCUCUAAUCAGCAACCACAAUGCAAGAAACCCAAAAGAACCCAAUUAAAAAAGAAAACCAACAUCCAAUCCGCAGUGAAAGAGAAAAAUACACGAAUCAUGCAAACAAUAUAAGCGAGCAGCAGCAUUCCCAACCAAACUGAGUCCUUGGGUCUGAAUUCCCGGAGCAGCCUGGAGUAGGCCAUAGCUUCAGUCUCAGUUCGUCAUACUGGCGGGGCAAAUUGCCACGAAGCUUGCAGAUACGAAUCCCGGCAACCGGGGCAGUUUCACGUACUCAGCGUCACGGAGGGAGGAGUGAACAUUGUGGGACAGUGAGCAAAAUCACCCUGACUCUCACCUCUGGUCCCGACAUCCUGCCUUUCCAGUCUCUCUGGGCCAGCAUUUAAAUUGUCCAAACAGCGGGUUGUGCCUUGUAUUCAAAUCCAGGCUCCGCCGCAGCAAAAUGCUCCAUGCCACACGGAGCAACAAUUCACUCUGGUUUCAUCGAUCAGCCUGAAGCCAUUCUAGGCUCAGUGCUUAGAGAGGUCCAACCUCACACCCAGGCAUCAAAACUCCCCUGCCUCAACUUCUCCUCUCUGAAGUGUUCACUCCAAUUCUAACUGCAUCGAUUUUGUAACGUACCAGCAUGACUCAUCCCUCAAAUUCACUUUGCCUUUGUUCGCCUCUUCAUUAUUUGCAGUGUGUUAUGAAUGCACCACAGCUCUGAGGGGCCGAAGGGUAGGGGGGAGCCCCCUCCUUUGUGAGAAUCGCAAGAGCAUUAUUAGGUUGAGACAGAGGACCCAGGAAAUGAGAGAGAGAGACAUGGCCAUUGUCUCCUGGAGACAACGUUUGUGGACUGGGGUCUAUGCUACGUGCAAGCCCUCGGGCAAAGUGGGCUGGUUGAGAGAGAUUGCAUCACCCCAACCUGAUUGACAUCUACUACCCGGCGAGUUAAGAUAAAAGGGGGGGGGGGCUGUAGGGACAGCCCCUCAGACGCACCAGAAGAAACGCUAGCGAUCCCGUAAUAGCGGGAAGCCAUUUGAAGGAAGCCACGUGCGUUCGGUUCCCUUGCCUGGGAGCUGGUGGCUGGUACCACGGAAAACAACUUGGAACUAACAACAGGGAACCAACUCCCCCCGACUCAACGGAUUGGCCUCAUAAAGACUUGGGCAAGUUUCAAACCGUCUCUCUCUUAAACCCAAAGAGCUGCAGCUUGAAGGGACAGUGACUUUUAUCUUUCCAUCGGACAAUACAAUAUCCCCUAGACAAACGUUAGAGUUGCUUAAUUGAUGAUUAUUAUUAUACCCGCGUUUUUAGAUUGAGUAUUGACGAUGUAUUGAAUGUCUGUAUUAAUCUUAUUUUUGUGCCCCUUUAUAAAUAAAGACG